ensembl:lncRNA
CUUGCUCAUAGUGUCUAACAAAGACACCUAAAGAAGACGUCAUUGACCGGAACACCCAUUACACAUCCUGCUUUUAGGUUUCUAAGAGGAACUGAGAGGUUAUUGCAGCCUUGCAGGGUUUUUACCAGAGCGUAAAUUCUCAAAAUGGUCACUAGAUGGCCUCAAUUUCUGUAAAACCAUCCACUGCCAAAGAGCCUACAUCCCAGGUCAUUCCUCCAGGGUCAUAGUACCCUUCAUGUUUUGUCAGCAACACAUGACAGCUGAGGGUCCCCCAGUCAAAUGGGUGGGGGAGGGGCUGGUUUGCACUGAGAUCUGACAGGAUAUGAUCAGCGGGCGUAAUGUGGUUAUAUCAGAUUUGUGUACAUCUCUGGUCUCAUUUCGGCCUUCCCCAUUAUGUCCAACCAGACAUGAGUUUCCUUGUGUCAUCCGAACCCCUGACCACAGUUGGCAAUGACACACUCAUACAGACACAGCAGGAAGGCUUAACACUUGGUCUGUAUGCCCUCUCAUUCACAUGCCCUUCACAUAUCAGUCUCUGAGAGACCUGACAGCUGAAUUCAAAAGUCUGACGGAUAUAAUCUGUCUCUCUGCUCUCAGCUUAUCUCCAAAGGGGUUCUACUCUUUACUGAUUUUAACUACUGAAUUCAAAAAUGUUCUGCUGUUUACUUAC